rnacentral:rRNA from 1 species
CGCUGGCGGCGUGCUUAUACAUGCAAGUCGAACGAUCCCGAGGCUUCAGCCUCAAUGGGAGAGUGGCGAACGGGUGAGUAACACGUGAGGAACCUACCCCGGAGAUGGGAAUAGCCCAGGGAAACCUGGAUUAAUCCCCAAUACCCUGCCUGCACCGCAUGGUGCGUUCAGGAAAUGCUCCGGUGCUCCGGGAGGGUCUCGCGGCCUAUCAGCUUGUUGGUGAGGUAAUGGCUCACCAAGGCAUCGACGGGUAGCUGGUCUGAGAGGACGAUCAGCCACACUGGGACUGAGACACGGCCCAGACUCCUACGGGAGGCUGCAGUAGGGAAUAUUGCGCAAUGGGCGAAAGCCUGACGCAGCGACGCCGCGUGGGGGAAGAAGGCCUUCGGGUCGUAAACCCCUUUCAGCAGGGACGAAAUUGACGGUACCUGCAGAAGAAGCGCCGGCCAACUACGUGCCAGCAGCCGCGGUAAUACGUAGG